ACCUGGGAACUGCAUUCGAAACUGGCAGGCUAGAGUCUUGUAGAGGGGGGUAGAAUUCCAGGUGUAGCGGUGAAAUGCGUAGAGAUCUGGAGGAAUACCGGUGGCGAAGGCGGCCCCCUGGACAAAGACUGACGCUCAGGUGCGAAAGCGUGGGGAGCAAACAGGAUUAGAUACCCUGGUAGUCCACGCCGUAAACGAUGUCGAUUUGGAGGUUGUGCCCUUGAGGCGUGGCUUCCGGAGCUAACGCGUUAAAUCGACCGCCUGGGGAGGACGGCCGCAAGGUUAAAACUCAAAUGAAUUGACGGGGGCCCGC
rnacentral:rRNA from 1 species